CGGCAAUCCGGCAAUUAGGUUAAGAUGCCUAUUUGUUAUUAAUGGAAGUUAAUAUUGUGUUUUAUUUUGUAAAAUGUUAUUUCUUACUCCAUAAUUAACAAUUAAGAACUUUGCAUGCACAGUAAUGGUAUUGUAAGCAGUUGUGUGCAAUGUGGUGUUGGCGAGUGUCUUGUACUUUAAAUUCGCGUAGUUUAUGUGGUGUUUAUGUUAAUUUUGUGAACUUAUCGAGACAUUUUUCUUCUUUGCGAACCACUAGGUCGGUGAAAGAAGAUGUACUUCCUUUGUUACUACCACCAGAUCUUCAAGAUAGUAAAGCCAAUGAUUGGACAAGUAUUCGGAAUAAUGUUAAGGAAAACAAGGACGUGCCCUUAUCUACAGUCGAUUUUGUGAUUUUAAAUUAUUGUUGUUCUACAAAGCAGUACAGUUUAGGCAUAAAGUUUUGGAAGUAUUUGGAGGAGGCAGGUAUUAAACCUAACCUUGCCACUAAAAGAAAAUAUCUUUAUCUUUUGUAUAAAUGUAGCAGGACAAGUGGUAAAAGGGAAGAGACACAGAUUUUAAAAUUGUGUGAUGAUAUACAGAAAGAGUACAAAGUGUUAGACCCUACAACUAGUGAACAUGUAGCUCAAGCAUUAUCUGUUACCAAAUGUUGGAGACAAGGUAUUAAAUUGUUAGAUGAAGUUAAAAUUACCGCAACUCCUACCACUGAAACAUAUUCAGCAGUUGCAGCAGCUGCCUUUGAAAAUUUAGAAAAUGAGUUAGGAUUGGAAAUAGUAAAAGAAAUUAUUGAGAAAGACAGGAAGCCUUUAGACUAUGUGUACAUGUCAUAUUUCUCCCAAAUAAAAAGUAAUUCUUCAUAUAAACAUGCAAGAGAAAAAAUUGAAGAGUUAUUUAAGUUCCUAGGGCAAUAUGACUUAAUCUUUAAUCAAAAAGAUGCUGAAGUGUUUGUUCAAUAUUGCAAAGAGUGGACUGAUUCUGCUAGUUUAACUGUGGUUAAUAAAAGUGGCAUUUGUAAAAGCUGUUCCCAAAAGUUGGAAAAAGUGACCUUAACAGAAAUCGAAUUUGAACAAUUAAAGAAUGAUUUUCUUGAGAAUGUUAUUAUUGGAAAGGAUGUAUUUAAUAAAACUAAUCCUAAAGAGCUUGAAAAACUACAACAGUUCUUAAAAAGUAAUAAAAAGUAUGAUGUUGUAAUUGAUGGUUUAAAUGUUGCAUUUUCGGCUGGUGUCAAAUCACCUCAAACUUUUGCAUUUUUGGUUGCUUCUGUUGUUAAACACUUUGUAGAAAAUAAUAAGAAAGUUUUGGUUGUGGGAAGGACACAUAUGAAAAAAUGGCCCAAAAAUUACUGGAAUUAUAUUGCCCACAAUGCAGACUUGUUCCUCGUCGAUUGUUUAUCUCAAGAUGAUCCUUAUCUUUUGUAUUGUGCCUUAAACUCCAAAAAUGAAACUGUACUUGUUAGCAAAGACUUGAUGAGAAGUCAUUUGUUCCGCUUAAACACUUUCAACCAGAAAGGACUGUUCAAAAGGUGGUUAAUGCAGAAUCAGUGGAAAUUGCAAUAUGUCUCCAAAGAUGGAAAAGUUUCCUUUAUGCAUCCACUUCCGUACUUUCGAACCAUUCAAAAAAAUCUAAAUGUUUGGCAUAUCCCUUACGAAUCAAACAAGACGAAGGAAUUUAAAAGGAACAAUCCCAAUUAUGCAUCAUACACCACCGAAUGGGCCUGUAUAAAAUUUCCAACAGCGACUUAAAGAUAAAACUGGCGAGCCUUAUUUUUGUCAUCUACGUUACACCUUUACUGGAAUGUUAUCCCCAAGGAACGCCUCCAUCGCGAGUUCUCCCAAAUUCAAAGGAGCAAUGCACUUUGACCAUUAUUGGGUUUCCUAUUACACCACCCUAUACUGAUUCGAUUGAUAUUGACGAAUGGUGUUAAUUCUUCGGGGAUUAAGAUGACAAAAUCUAUCGAGUUCUUAAUGGAUUUGGAGGGAAUUUCUUCUGCUGACUACAUACUAAGGAUAGAGGAUAACUGAUUUCUUCUAUUGUCGAAACGGACGC
rnacentral:misc_RNA from 1 species